rnacentral:rRNA from 1 species
ACUAAAUAGAUACCGGGUAGUACACGCCCUAAACGAUGUCUACUAGUUGUUGGUGGAGUAAAAUCCAUGAGUAAACGCAGCUAAACGCGUGAAGUAGACCGCCUGGGGAGUACGGUCGCAAGAUUAAAACUCAAAGGAUUGACGGGGCCGCACAAGCGGUGGAUUAUGUGGAUUAAUUACGAUGCAACGCGAAAAACCUUAACCUGGCCUUGACAUGCCACUAACGAAGCAGAGAUGCAUUAGGUGCCCGUAACGGGAAAGUGGCACAGGUGCUGCAUGGCUGUCGUCAGCUCGUGUCGUGAGAUGUUGGGUUAAGUCCCGCAACGAGCGCAACCCUUGCCAUUAAUUGCCAUCAUUUAGUUGGGCAC